UCUUGGGUCAUUUAGAGGAAGUUAAAAAGUAGGUAACUAGAUGUCCGUAACGAGGUUUCCCGGAAGGGAUCAUUAUGGUAGGACGGAGGUUGCUGGGGUGAGGUCUGGCUUUUGAAAAAAGGGUUGUGCACAACUCGGGGCUCUCGCACAGAUAAUUCAUCUCACCAAUUCUGUUCAUCCCCGCGGGGGAACCCCUUUUGGGUAGUUCCGAGGGGGGGUUUCGAGGUUUGUCAAAGACAUCCUUUUAAGGCAACGUGUAGAAUGUCUUAGUUUAAUGGAUUGUUUGCAAUUAAUGCAACUUUCAACAACGGAUUUCUUGGCUCUAUCUUCGGUGUAGAGCGCAGAGAAAUGCGACACGUAAAGUGAAUUGCAGAAUUCAGUGAAUCAUUUCAUCUUUUCAUGCACCCUGCGCCCCCUGGCAUUGCGAGGGGCCCUUCCGUGGGACAGUCGUGACAUCCUCAAACCACAUCCGUUUCCCUCCAUGGAAGGCUUUGGACCUAGAGGUUUUUGCUGGAUUCCUUUCUGGAGCCAGCUCCUGGAAAAAGAAUUAGUGGGGUCUGCUUUGCCGAUCCUUUUCGUGAUAAGAUGACGUGAUAAGAUGGGUCUGCGCUCUGGCUUCUCACCGUCUCACAGAAGACUCUCGGUCAAGUGA
rnacentral:rRNA from 1 species